rnacentral:tRNA from 1 species
GCCGCUGUAGCUCAGUGGUAGAGCACCACAUUGGUAAUGUGGGGGUCGGAAGUUCAAUUCUUCUCGGCGGCACCA